rnacentral:rRNA from 1 species
CCUACGGGUGGCAGCAGUGGGGAAUAUUACACAAUGGGGGAAACCCUGAUGCAGCGACGCCGCGUGAAGGAAGAAGUAUUUCGGUAUGUAAACUUCUAUCAGCAGGGAAGAAAAUGACGGUACCUGACUAAGAAGCCCCGGCUAACUACGUGCCAGCAGCCGCGGUAAUACGGAGGGGGCAAGCGUUAUCCGGAUUUACUGGGUGUAAAGGGAGCGUAGGCGGCGAUGCAAGUCAGAAGUGAAAGCCCGGGGCUCAACUCCGGGACUGCUUUUGAAACUGGGUUGCUUGAUUGCAGGAGAGGUAAGUGGAAUUCCUGGUGUAGCGGUGAAAUGCGUAGAUAUUAGGAGGAACACCAGUGGCGAAGGCGGCUUACUGGACUGUAAAUGACGCUGAGGCUCGAAAGCGUGGGGAGCAAACAGGAUUAGAUACCCUGGUAGUC